GGGGAUUUAGCUCAGUGGUAGAGCGCUUGCCUAGCAAGCACAAGGCCCUUCAGUCCCCA
rfam:Rattus norvegicus chromosome 19, whole genome shotgun sequence.